UAUAUAUAUUUGCAAAUAUAGGCGUGAUAAUUUUUUUCAUUUUGAUUGUUGUUCCAUGUGCAGACACGUGAAUAUCACUCGAAAAGUCGGAACUGCUAUAGCAACUAUAGAUGGAAAGUACAAAAUAUGGACUGUUUCACCCCAGCAAAAUGUUCGCGCUUUGUACUAAUAAUUCUGUAUUGUGCCCGAGAAACAAGGAAACAACAAUCUCCUAAUUCUUCUUGAGCCAAGCAUAAUACAUAUAUUUACUAAAUUAAACAAUAUUUCUUACGUUAGCAUAGAAUUACGUGUUCAGGGCUACAAUAGUUUAGAUUACGGUUAGGCUGUUUCAGUUUACAAUGCCCUUUUGAAUUCCAAUAGUACAACAUGUGGAUAUUAUUUGGAUGCAUUGGUUCUUAUUUCGUAUAUUCCAUCCAUAGAAACAAUAUGUACGAUUAUAUUUGGUUGCAACGUCGCCGUAUGAAAAUUCCAGCGACAUAAAUCGAAAACAGCUGCUCAGUCACAUACUGGGCAAAGUUGCUAGGUUCUGUCUAAACUGCAGGUUGUGUUUACUAAGUUUUCCUGCUGCUGGUUGUGUGGCUAAGCUUCCUUCUUGCAGGCUGUGUGGCCAGGCUUCACUGCUGCAGGUUGUAUGGGCUAAGCUUCAAUGCUGCAGGUUGUGUGGCUAGGCUUCACUGCUACAGGUUAUGUGCCUAAUCUUCACUGCUGCUGGUUUUGUGGCUAAGCUUCACUGCUGCAGGUUGACGUAUUUCACAAUUACUAGUAUGGCAGCGCCUUCAAAUAAAAUAUUUCCUUUGGCACUUAUUAAAUCUACAAACAACAAAUCUACAAGAUCCAAACAACAAGUCACAAUUUCCCAAGUUGCUAAAAUUCUUAUUCUUAUUGCACAUAAGAAUAAAAUACAACAAACAGAAUACAUUACACAUACCCUAUUAAACCAAGAACACUCAUGGGUUAGAAACUUAUCUCAAUUGCAUACCUAAUUCAUCUAUAAAACACACACACACAUGCCAUCCAUAUACCCAAAUACAUUCGCCUAAAUAUUUGGUUGAGUUUACAACGUUCUAAUAAAUGAAAGGUUUGCCCCCCAAAAUAUGAUUUUAUUUUAGUGACCUAAAGAACGUAGUUUAAAGAACUACGAGACAGACUUGAGUAACAUAAGAGUUCCUCGAGAGAACCAAAUCCAAUCCCUUGAUCACCAUAUGUUCUAAUGUCCCAUCUUAUUUCACCAGUUACGUUAAGUUUAGAGAUUUAUAUUCCCCUCCAUUUACUAUUUGUAUCAAUCUCUUUUGUUAAACUUUCUCUCAUCCAGUUACUAAAUACACAAAUCCAGAACAUCAAAAGAUUAUUUCUUGAGACUAAAAUUCGCAAAAAACAUUAAUGAGUGGGUUAACCAGUGUUUAUCCCCCCCAAAAAUGCCGUUGACCGUGAACCAAUGACUAAGGGGGUGUAUUUUCCUCGCUACUCAUCGUAAUUUUCUUCAAGAAUUUCAACUCCUCAUCUUUCUUCCUUCCCUUCUCCUCCUUUCCCCCCACCCCCCGCCUUACCUUGAGGUGCUUCCGGGGCUUAGCGUCCCCGCGGCCCGGUCGUCGACCAGACCUCCUGGUUGCUGGACUGAUCAACCAGGCUGUUGGACGCGGCUGCUCGCAGCCUGACGUAUGAGUCACAGCCUGGUUGAUCAGGUAUCCUUUGGGGUAGCCUUCUUGAAGCUCUUUGAACAUCGAAGUUGAUGUUGGACUAGGGGCCCAUAUACACUACUGUACUACAUUGGACAUCACUCAUCCAUUGUUCAAGUUCAAGUUCAAGUAUGUAUAUUGAGAUAAGCAAUUAAUACAUCUCAAAGGGAUAGAGUAGCUUAGGUUAUUUCUACCCCCCUGAUCAUCAAUUGUAUAAUUGUUUAAUAUACUCCACCUUGGUUGAAUUGCAUUGCCGUAUGUUCGCUUAUACGCAUUCAAAUAUGUUUAAUUAAAACAAAUUCAUGUACUUAUUUGAUUUACAUUUAUUAUUGUAAAUAUUUAUUGAAACUUCGGAUGAACCCGAUAUGACUGGUAAUUCAUCAUCAUGUUUAAAUAAAUCUUUGAAAAAAUAGUUCUUAUGGAAAUGUGUUUUCGAGAUAUAUAAUUAUAUAUAAUAUACAGAAAAUUACAUUCUUCGAAUAGAUCAUAUCUUUAAUUUUAUUGUCAAAUGGUACUGGCUCAUGUGCAAAUGUUUACCCUGUACAAUAAACUAAAACUUUUU